rnacentral:rRNA from 1 species
GACGAACGCUGGCGGCGUGCUUAACACAUGCAAGUCGAACGGUAAGGCCCUUCGGGGUACACGAGUGGCGAACGGGUGAGUAACACGUGGGUGAUCUGCCCUGCACUUCGGGAUAAGCCUGGGAAACUGGGUCUAAUACCGGAUAGGACCACUGCCUGCAUGGGUGGUGGUGGAAAGCUUUUGCGGUGUGGGAUGGGCCCGCGGCCUAUCAGCUUGUUGGUGGGGGGAUGGCCUACCAAGGCGACGACGGGUAGCCGGCCUGAGAGGGUGACCGGCCACACUGGGACUGCAGUACGGCCCAGACUCCUACGGGAGGCAGCAGUGGGGAAUAUUGCACAAUGGGGGCGAGCCUGAUGCAGCGACGCCGCGUGAGGGAUGACGGCCUUCGGGUUGUAAACCUCUUUCAGCACCGACGAAGCGCAAGUGACGGUAGGUGCAGAAGAAGGACCGGCCAACUACGUGCCAGCCGCCGCCGUAA